UUUAAUGGGCAAAGCCGGGGAAACACGGUGACGCAAAGCUACAGGGCCUGUAAAAUGGCAGCCAGCUGCAA
rnacentral:ncRNA from 1 species